AGUGGCCCCCAGGGCGCGUCCACCUCCGUCGCUCUGCUGCUGAUAAGCGUCCUCGUUGAGCUCUACGUGAUGAUGCUGUAGACCCGGCGGCCGCCGGACGAGAGAUCCUGGAGGCGUCGACGUUGCGAGUGGCGCGCCCUUCCAUUUUUCUUUUUUCAUUUAUUCGUUCAGCAAUCAAAAUAUUCAUUCAUUAAUUCAGCAAUAAAAU